GUGGGGAAUCUUAGACAAUGGGCGCAAGCCUGAUCUAGCCAUGCCGCGUGAGCGAUGAAGGCCUUAGGGUUGUAAAGCUCUUUCAGGGGGGAAGAUAAUGACGGUACCCCCAGAAGAAGCCCCGGCUAACUCCGUGCCAGCAGCCGCGGUAAUACGGAGGGGGCUAGCGUUGUUCGGAAUUACUGGGCGUAAAGCGCACGUAGGCGGACCAGAAAGUCAGGGGUGAAAUCCCGGGGCUCAACCCCGGAACUGCCUUUGAAACUCCUGGUCUUGAGGUCGAGAGAGGUGAGUGGAAUUCCGAGUGUAGAGGUGAAAGUCGUAGAUAUUCGGAGGAACACCAGUGGCGAAGGCGGCUCACUGGCUCGAUACUGACGCUGAGGUGCGAAAGCGUGGGGAGCAAACAGGAUUAGAAACCCUUGUAGUCC
rnacentral:rRNA from 1 species